GCAGCCCUGCCUUGUGCGAUAACUUACGGUCCAUAUUAACCCUACAAUUUUAUCUAAGGGAGCCCGGCUCCGUGCACGGAUUGCAGACCUCCCGGCUUUUGCCGGAUGUUGGGAGCGAGAACUGUAUGGGAGGCACCCACCUGCUUUAAACGCAGGUUACUAUCGACCGUAUCCGGCUUGGCGGGGUUCAA
rfam:Ruminococcus sp. CAG:563 genomic scaffold, scf33